rnacentral:rRNA from 1 species
UACGAAGGGGGCUAGCGUUGCUCGGAAUCACUGGGCGUAAAGGGUGCGUAGGCGGGUCUUUAAGUCAGGGGUGAAAUCCUGGAGCUCAACUCCAGAACUGCCUUUGAUACUGAAGAUCUUGAGUUCGGGAGAGGUGAGUGGAACUGCGAGUGUAGAGGUGAAAUUCGUAGAUAUUGGGAAGAACACCGGUGGCGAAGGCGGCUCUCUGGACCGAUACUGACGCUGAGGCGCGAAAGCGUGGGGAGCAAACAGG